rnacentral:rRNA from 1 species
CUCCUGUUUAACAAAAACAUCUCUUCUUGAAUAUAUUUUGAUGUAUGGCCUGCCCACUGAAUAUUGAAGGGCCGCGGUUUUUUGACCGUGCAAAGGUAGCAUAAUCAUUAGUCUUUUAAUUGUAGGCUGGAAUGAAUGGUUUGACGAGGUGUUAACUGUCUUUAUUUUUUUUUUGAACUUAAAUUUUAGGUUAAAAUGCCUAAAUGUUUUUUUGGGACGAGAAGACCCUAUAGAGUUUUAUAUAUUUUUAUUUUUUUUGUAUGAGAAUUUCUAAUGUAAAAAUUUAUUUUGUUGGGGUGAUGGAAAGAUUUAAUUAACUCUUUUUAUUUAUUUUAUAUUUAUUUAUAUGUAUUUGAUCCAUUUAUGUUGAUUAUAAGACUAAAUUACCUUAGGGAUAACAGCGUAA